AAUUUUAUAACAUAGUUGGUCAUGUAAUAGAUUGCAAAUCUAAUAAUACUGGUUCAACUCCAGUUGAAAUUU
rnacentral:tRNA from 1 species